GAUGAAGAACGUAGCGAAAUGCGAUAAGUAAUGUGAAUUGCAGAAUUCAGUGAAUCAUCGAAUCUUUGAACGCACAUUGCGCCCCCUGGUAUUCCGGGGGGCAUGCCUGUCCGAGCGUCAUUACAACCCUCAAGCUCAGCUUGGUAUUGGGCCCCGCCGCUCCGGCGGGCCCUAAAGUCAGUGGCGGUGCCGUCCGGCUCCGAGCGUAGUAAUUCUUCUCGCUCUGGAGGUCCGGUCGUGUGCUCGCCAGCAACCCCCAAUUUUUUUCAGGUUGACCUCGGAUCAGGUAGGGAUACCCGCUAAACUUAAGCAUAUCAAUAAGCGGAGGA
rnacentral:misc_RNA from 1 species